UAAUUAACAGGCAUCCUGCGGACUGUAAUUAAAAGGCAGUUUGAAAUUAGUGAUACUUUGAUUCUAGCCAUUUGUAUUUUAUAACUGACAGUGAAUUCGCCUCAAAAAUGUUUAGUCCUCUCAUGUCCUUGCUCCCUGGUUUUUCUUCGGUUAGGCACUUUGGAAUUCAGCUGCAUUCUUCUACUUUCAACAAGUUACCUUCCUACCACUUCCAUUUGGGUGGAGCUGGUGAGCCAGAAGGAAGAAACGCCCAAACAGAUCUUCAGGCUCCACCCUCCCCAAUAGGUUCUCACGGCAGAGAUGCGCCUGGCAGGAGCUUCAACCCCAAGGCCACCCGCCGCCGCGGGUUCCCAAGCCCGGAUAGGGCCCUAAUGGGAAAGCAGCCUGGGUUCGCCUCGGCCCAGCCUCCGCCAAGUCUUCGGGAUCUGACGACCCACAACAGCGCGAGGGCGGAGGAACGGGAGGAAGCAGAGGAAGAGGAGGAAGAGGAAUUGCUUUUGUCGAGGCUCCGCCCGGCGCUGGCCAGGCCUCGUGGAGCCUCCGGGGCUCGGGGUCCCCAGGGGGCGUGGCCUCAGGGGCGGAAGAGGAGCGCGGGCGGGGGCUCAGGCAGCGCGCGGCGCGGGGGAGGGUCGGAGCCUCACCGGGCGGGGCGGGGCGGGGCGGGGCGGGGCGGGGCGGCAGGGCCUCCCCAGAGCGGGCGGCGGAGCUGCACUAGUCCGCGCGCGGUAGGGCAGAGACCCCGUACCCGAGGAGAAGGCAAAUUCUCAAGAAGGUGUCCGGUUCUGCCCAUCCUGCCCCACAGUGCAUCAGUGACGGAGAUAUUUGACCUUCUAGGAGUCUCUGUUGAUAGGUGCUGGUGGCAUCCUUCCUGGAUUUCCAGGAUUGUCCCAAUUUACAUGUUUUGACCAUGUAAGUACUCGUACUUGUCAAAACUUGAAUCCCAGUUGAAGGUUCCAGAAUGUGUGAAUAGAGGAUUAUCGGUUCUGUUGUGUAUAAUGCUACUCUCCCUGUUCUUAAAAAUGGGCCUUUCUGAGGAGUCGAAGGAUACCUGCAGCUGCAAACCUG
rnacentral:lncRNA from 1 species